rnacentral:rRNA from 1 species
AUGCGGGCCAGAGCAGCCUCCGACCAACUAUUUCCCAAUUUAUAUACUCGAGUGAAUUGCUCCCCCCUCUCUCUCCCUCUCUCUCUCCUCUCUCCCGUUCAAAGUCGUCGUCUUGCUCUCGAGCUGUUUGAUUCGAUUCUUAUCAAUCCACCAUCCUCCGUAGCUGCAGGUCCGAUCGUGGCGGUUAUGCCAUCGGCAGCGCUGGCUGCCACGCCGGACUCUGCGUCGCCGUCUCUGCACCACUACCGCGGCCGGUUGCGCUCGCCGCUGGCAAACGGCGGCACCAAGGGGAACUUCGAGCUCCGGCACUGGCGCACGCCGCUCAAGCGGGCGCCGUCGUGCCCACCGCCGGGCAUCGAGAUCCCCAGCAACGACGACGAUGGCAGCGGGAACGGGUACACCAGCCUCCGGGACAUCCUAGCGUCACCGCGGUACGUGGGGGCGGGGAGCUCGCCGGCGGCCUGCGUCAUCGGUGGCGCCGGCAGCUGUGGGGACAUACACAUGAUACGCCACCCGCUGGUAAAACACGCGGCGUACGCGUACCUGCAGAUGACGCCGUCGGCUAGGGAGGACCCAACCCGCCGGAACCGGCGCUGGCGCGGCCCACUCUGCCGCCUCCUGUUCGGCUGCCUCAGCUUCAUCGGAGCACUCUUCCGGCCGUGA